rnacentral:rRNA from 1 species
GACGAACGCUGGCGGCGUGCCUAACACAUGCAAGUUGAGCGACGAACCAGGGCUUGCCCUGGGGCAAAGCAGCGAACGGGUGAGUAACACGUGGGUAACCUGCCCCGAUGACCGGGACAACCCGAGGAAACUCGGGCUAAUACCGGAUGUGCCCCCCGCACAUGAGUGCGGUUGGCAAAGGUAGCUUCGGCUUCCGCUUCGGGAGGGGCCCGCGGCCCAUUAGCUAGUUGGUGGGGUAAAGGCCUACCAAGGCGACGAUGGGUAGCUGGUCUGAGAGGACGAUCAGCCACACUGGGACUGAGACACGGCCCAGACUCCUACGGGAGGCAGCAGUGGGGAAUCUUGCGCAAUGCGCGAAAGCGUGACGCAGCAACGCCGCGUGGGGGAAGAAGGCCUUCGGGUUGUAAACCCCUUUCAGGAGGGACGAAGGUUCGGCGGUUAACAGCCGACCGGACUGACGGUACCUCCACAAGAAGCCCCGGCUAACUACGUGC